GAUCAUGGCUCAGAACGAACGCUGGCGGCAUGCCUAACACAUGCAAGUCGAACGAGACCUUCGGGUCUAGUGGCGCACGGGUGCGUAACGCGUGGGAAGUCUGCCCUUCGGUUGGGAAUAACACAGAGAAAUUUGUGCUAAUACCUUAUAAUGUCUUCGGACCAAAGAUUUAUCGCCGAGGGAUGAGCCCGCGUAGGAUUAGGUAGUUGGUGGGGUAAGUGGCCUACCAAGCCGACGAUCCUUAGCUGGUCUGAGAGGAUGAUCAGCCACACUGGGACUGAGACACGGCCCAGACUCCUACGGGAGGCAGCAGUGGGGAAUAUUGGACAAUGGGCGAAAGCCUGAUCCAAGCAAUGCCGCGUGAGUGAUGAAGGCCUUAGGGUUGUAAAGCUCUUUUACCCGGGAUGAUAAUGACAGUACCGGGAGAAUAAGCUCCGGCUAACUCCGUGCCAGCAGCCGC
rnacentral:rRNA from 1 species